rnacentral:lncRNA from 8 species
CUGGUACAAUACGGGUACCGAUAUGCAAAGUGUUGGCAGUGGCACUCAGCUAGAGAUACAAUCCAGCACCAUGGUAACCCAACAACAAAGUAAAUUAGUCAAACAUUAAAUCAGCCCCUAUGUCCUCAGCCUCCUGUGGAUUGGUGGGUGUGAGCCAGAGUGAAAAGCCCACAACUUCCUAAUUAGCUGAAUAGCUUGCCAGUCAAUAGUUUUUACUAGGUUGACCCUCCUACUGAGCAAGAUAUGUUGGGGCAGCAGCCAAAAAGUUUACUGCACUGAUUUCUAACACAUCUUAUAUUUACAUCGGCACAUUCAAACUAGCAAAACUACUUGCGAAAGCUUACAAGCAACAAAAUAUAUUGGGUGGAAGACAAGUCAAGUCCAUUGUGUUGGAACCAUGGUUGUUGGGAAGAAGUUGGCCAAAGAGUCCCUGCUACCGUCUGUGCUGGAGGAUGAUGACGCGGAGACGGAGAGCGAGAGAGCGCAGCUGGGUGGGAUUGGGAGCCGACCACCCAGCAGACCCAGGAAAGCUUUCAGUAGGGGAAGUGUUGACAGACAGACAGUGACCCGGUCAGGGUCCGGCCGCCACUCUAGCCCUGAGGGGGAGGUGUCAGUCAGGGGUGAGAGAAAGGAGGAUGAGGGGGAGAAGGAGGAAGAAGAGGGCAGUGGAGGUGGCGAUGGAGACACACAGGAGAGGGGGAAGGAAUGUGUCAUCACAGCUUCAGAUGAGGACUAUGACACAGACUUGGAGCUGGGAGGUAGGUAGCACAUCGUAGCGCUGCGUGUUCUUAAUAAAAGAGAGAACGAGAGAAAGGUGGGUGAAUCACAAGUUCUGAUAAAGGGUGUACGAGAGCUAAGGGGCAGAGUGUGCGUGUGGUUUGCCACUGUCUCGUCUCGGGGGAAGAGAAACGGCUAACUGAUGAGUCAUGUGUUUGACAUUAACCGUUUCAUCUCUGUUAGAUCAUCACACUUUCACAUGCUCUUUCUGUUUGUAUCUCUCUCUAGCUCUCUCUUUCUGGGAAGACAUCGUUUACAAUUUCAUAUUCUCUCUCACUCUUUCAUAGAAAAUAAACCUCAUCUUAUUUCUGAAGCCCCACUGUGAUCAUUUCAUCAUGUUUAGAUCAUGCUUUGAACAUGAGCAACUGUCCC